UACGUAGGGUGCGAGCGUUGUCCGGAAUUAUUGGGCGUAAAGAGCUCGUAGGCGGUUUGUCACGUCUGCUGUGAAAUCCCGAGGCUCAACCUCGGGCCUGCAGUGGGUACGGGCAGACUGGAGUGCGGUAGGGGAGAAUGGAAUUCCUGGUGUAGCGGUGGAAUGCGCAGAUAUCAGGAGGAACACCGAUGGCGAAGGCAGCUCGCUGGGACGGUACUGACGCUGAGGCGCGAAAGCGUGGGGAGCGAACAGG
rnacentral:rRNA from 1 species